rnacentral:rRNA from 1 species
UACGUAGGGGGCGAGCGUUAUCCGGAUUUAUUGGGCGUAAAGGGCGUGUAGGCGGUAGAUUAAGUUGGUUGUAAAAGGCAAUGGCUCAACCAUUGUAAGCGACCAAAACUGGUUUACUUGAGUGCAGAAGAGGAGAGUAGAAUUCCCGGUGUAGCGGUGGAAUGCGUAGAGAUCGGGAGGAAUACCAGUGGCGAAGGCGGCUCUCUGGUCUGUAACUGACGCUGAGGCGCGAAAGCGUGGGGAGCAAACAGGAUUAGAUACCCUGGUAGUCCACGCUGUAAACGAUGAGUGCUAGGUGUUGGGGGUUUAGGCCCUCAGUGCCGGAGGUAACCCAAUAAGCACUCCGCCUGGGGAGUACGGCCGCAAGGUUGAA